rnacentral:lncRNA from 10 species
AUACUAGGGAAGGCAUCGAGCUUGAGGAAGAGGCCCCAUUCAUCUCCGUACCCCAGGCCCUGGUACACAGCAGGCAGCACCUUCUACCACCAUCCACCCUCCUCCGUGUUUUAUUUAUUUUGUUGAUUUCUCCUUCAUUGAAAUGUCAGCUCCAGGCGGGCACGCAUCUUUGUUGUGUUCUCUGCUGACUAUAUCCUCAGCACCUAGAACUGUGUCUGUCACCUAAUAGAUGCUCAAUAAACCUGCCAGUAAUUUCAGCAAAUGAAACGUGGAACACGUCAAGGCCAGAGGAUGGAAAAGGCUCCAGUUUUGAUAAAAGGAGGCCUGCUUGGCUUGGAAUCCUCUCUCCUGCUGGUUGGGAGAUGCAAAGAUGUUUCCAGAGAGGGGCUGAUGAAUUGAGGGGAAAGAAAUGAGCCCAGUAUGAGUCCCCUUUCAGGGCUGAGCGUGUAUAAAACCAAACAACUUGGAACCGCUCCAAGAGAGGGGAUUAAAGCAACAUGUUAUUCUGA